UACGUAGGGUGCGAGCGUUGUCCGGAAUUAUUGGGCGUAAAGGGCUCGUAGGCGGUCUGUCGCGUCGGGAGUGAAAACCCAGGGCUCAACCCUGGGCCUGCUUCCGAUACGGGCAGACUAGAGGUAUGCAGGGGAGAAUGGAAUUCCUGGUGUAGCGGUGAAAUGCGCAGAUAUCAGGAGGAACACCAGUGGCGAAGGCGGUUCUCUGGGCAUUACCUGACGCUGAGGAGCGAAAGUGUGGGGAGCGAACAGG
rnacentral:rRNA from 1 species